UGCCUGUAGGUCACAAGCAAAAGGAUUCUGUCUUCCCUUCAGGUCCUCUUCCUAUCCUGCCUAUGCACUAAAGGAGUCAGAAUCUGGUCCUUCAUACCAAUGCAAGUGGCAGGGGCUAAAACACCUGAGGAAGAGUUUGAGGAUGUCUCGGCUAACUACAGUAUAGAACUGAAAGAGCCCACCCAUGCCACAAUUCAUGAGGUGGCUUCUUCUGAAGUAGAAGAUGAAAGAAGAGUUGUACAGAUUGUUUGAAUAAACCAUGUCUAAAAUAAAGAUGUAUACAGACAGCGUAAACAAUAUACCGACAGCGU